ACAAAUCAAUGAAUAUCAUUGCUUACGUCAGCAAAAACGGGCAAAGAGCAGCAAAAUCACCAUUUUUGACAAGAAGGGCCGCUCGAGCCAAGACAGAACUCUUUCAGCUACUGAUGAUGUUGAAAGUGACACGUGUUGGAGAGAGCAUUAUACUGGACACCCUUGUAUGACCAGACCACUGUAAAGUAUCGACACAAUUGGAGGUGAUGCUGAGAAGUCAAAGGCAGUAUCUUGCAAUUGCAGUGAACUGAGUGCAGACUUGCAUGUUAAAAGAAACCUUUCACUUUUGUAUAAUCCUUAUCGUUUGUUUAGAUACAAUUUUAAUACUGAAUUGAUGUAUUGUUGUUUUUAAUG